CUAUAAGUGGGUAUGUUUCAUUUUAAGUUUUUUAUUUUUUGAUUCUUGCUGACAUAUAAAACUCACUUGCAUUUUGUAUUUUGACCUUGUACUAUAUUCAGCAACCUUGCUAAAAGUCAAUUACUCAAUCUAGUAAUUUAGUGGUAAAUUCUUUUGGAUUUUCUACAUAUUCAUCUGUGCAAAAUAACAUUUUUAUUCUGUCACAAUUCUUAUACUUUUAAUUUUUUCUUGAUGUAGUACACUGCCUAGGACCGCCCAUAUGAAGCUGAAUAGCGGUGAUGAUAAUGCACAUUCUUGUCUUCUUUGUCAUUACAGAGGGACAGUUUUCAACAUUUCACCAUAAAGUAUGAUACUUGCUAUAGGUGUCGUAUAUAAGAUAUCAAUGCCUAACUCAAGGUCACAAAGAAUUACUCCUCUGUUUUCUUCUAAGAGGUUUAUAGUUUUAGCUCUUACAUUUAUGUCUAUGAUGCACUGUGAGUUAAUUUUUGUGUAUGAUGUAAGGAAAAGAUGUAAAUUCAUUCUUUGGCAUGUGAAUAUCCAGUUGUUUCAGCAACAUUUGUUGAAAAGAGUAUUCUUUCCCCAUUGAAUCAUCUUAGCAUUAUUGUCAAAAAUCAGUUAGCUGUAAAUGUGAGAGUUUGUUUCUGUGUUAUCAAUUCUACUCCCUUAAUAUACAUGUCUGUCCUGUGCCAGUACCACAGUAUCUUGAUUUCUGUAACUUCACAGUAACUUUUGAAAUUGGGAAAUGUGAGUCCUCCAUCUUUGUUCUUUUUCAAGACUGCUUUGGCCACUGUGGGUAUUUCCAUAUGAAUUUUAGAAUCAGCUUGUCAGUUGCUGCAAAAAAAACAAAGUGAGCUGGGUUUCUGAUCAGCAUUGCAUUAAAUCUAUAAAUCAAUUUGGGAAGUAUUGCCAUAUUAACAAUAUUAGUUCUUCUGAUCUGUGAUCCUGGGAUAUCUUUCUAUUUACUUAGGUCUUCUUUAAUUUCCUUCAACAGUGUUUUGCAGUUUUCAGUGUACCAGUCUUAUGUUUCUUUUGUUAAAUUUAUUUCUAUGUAUUUUAUUAUUUUUAAUGCUACUGUAAAUGGGAUUGUUUUCCUUUUUUUUAAAAGAUUGGCACCUGAGCUAACAACUGAUGCCAAUUUUUUUUUCUGCUUUUUCUCCCUGAAUCCCCCCAGUACAUAGUUGCAUAUUUUAGUUGUUGGUCCUUCUAACUGUGGCAUGUGGGACUCUGCGUCAGCAUGGCCCGAUGAGCAGUGUCAUGUCUGCACCCAGGAUCCAACCCGGUGAAACCCUGGGCCGCCGAAGCGGAGCACGUGAACUUAACCACUCGG
rnacentral:lncRNA from 1 species